GGUUAAGAGUGUCAGUGCAAAGCCCCGGCUAGCUGACCGGCAACCCUCGCACCGCGGCGGGGUGCCCCCGGGGGAGACCUGGCGGCACGGUGGGCGUGCCGCAAGCGCGGACC
rnacentral:ncRNA from 2 species